GCCGCAGUAUUUUGACUGUGCAAAGGUAGCAUAAUUAUUAGUUUUUUAAUUGAAAGCUUGUAUGAAGGGUUGGACGAGAUAAAAUCUGUCUUUAUUUAAAUUACAAUAGAAUUUAACUUUUAAGUCAAAAGGCUUAAAUGUAUAUAAAAGACGAGAAGACCCUAUAGAUCUUUAUUUAAUUAAUAUUUUGAUAAUUUAAGAUUAUUUUAGUUUAAAGUUUUAAUUAAAUUUUAUUGGGGUAAUAUAGAGAUUAAAUAAAUUCUUUUUAUUUAUUACAUUGAUUUAUGAAUAUAUGAUCCAAUAUUAUUGAUUAUAAGAUUAAGUUACCUUAGGGAUAACAGCGUAAUUUUUUUGGAGAGCUCAUAUCGAUAAAAAAGUUUGCGACCUCGAUGUUGGAUUAAAAAUUAGCUUGGGUGCAGAAGCUCAAGAUUUUGGUCUGUUCGACCAUUAAAUUUUUACAUGAUCUGAGUUCAGACCGGCGUAAGCCAGGUCGGUUUCUAUCUUUAUUUAUCUAAAAUAUUUUAGUACGAAAGGACCAAAUAUUUAAUAUAAUUAUAUUUCUUUUUUGAAUAAUAUU
rnacentral:rRNA from 1 species